UGAAUUGAUGGGAGAGCACCACCGGAGCGCGAGGGGUGGCGCAUCGGGCACUCGGCUCACCCAACUCCCACAGCUCGAGCUCACUAUAUUCAGCGGCUCCGGUGCGCUCGAGACUUUAUUCACUCCAGAGUCCAACACAGAGACGGACCUGUCGAGCUCUCUAUUCCCCACUGCAAGCUAAGCACUUACUGGAUAGAACACACGGACAACUUUUUACACAGCUAUUUCCGCCUCUCUAUUUUUGGUUUUCAUUACAGGACUUAAACCUGGGAUUGUACCAUUUAAAAAAGACGCAAUUUUUGUUGUUGAAAUAUUUAAAUGUCAUGGUUUUUCAUGUUCAUCGUAUAAAUAAUAAUUUCUGGGUAUAGAAAUAUUUGAGAACAAGGGAAACUGUUACACGUGUUUUCCAACCUCCGACGAAGACUGAACAAGUUAUUCGUUCUUGGGGGGUCGAUAACAAGUGCAAUGAUUGUCAAGGUCUUCUGUUGGGAUUGCCUUACUGCUCAACUGGUCUAAGGAGCCAGCCAUGUCCUUUUGUCUGCUCUACUUCUGUCACGGAGAGAGGGCUCGGAGUGGCGGACGCGCACGAAUGUGAAUUACAUUGCAGUCAACUACUCUACUUCAAAGCACUUCAGAUAUCCGCAGAGUUUCCCAAACAAGUGUUUAGGAGUUGUACCGCGGGCGACUGAACGGGACUACUCACAUGUUCCUCUCCCCAAGGGAUGGUUCUUGAUCAUCUGCGGGCAGGAGCGACUUUGCGGCUCCUACAGCAGGAGACGUUUUCUUGUUUUGGGGGAAAUCGGAAUUAAAGGGAGAUGAGACCCGUACUUUGCUACUUCCUGCUCUGUACAUCGUACCUGCUGAAUGCUGUUGCUGAGGAAGUCCCGCAGGAGUUGAUAGAGAGACUGUCCCACAGCGAAAUCCACAGCAUCAGCGACCUCCAGCGGCUAUUGGACUCCGAGAUAGACGCCCCCGUAGGUGCGGAAAAUGAGGUCAUGGAGGAGACCAAGCCGAUGCAGAAGCAUCAUAAGAACUACUCCCAACAACACGGCUACUCAGACCUGAAGAGCUCACAGAUACACAGCCGACGCAAGAGGAGCGUUGAGGAGGCGGUGCCUGCGGUGUGUAAGACGCGGACGGUGAUCUAUGAGAUCCCGCGCAGCCAGGUGGACCCCACGGCUGCCAACUUUCUGAUAUGGCCGCCGUGCGUGGAGGUCAAGAGGUGCACGGGAUGCUGCAACACCAGCAACAUGCGCUGCCACCCCUCACGCAGACACCACCGUACCGUUAAGGUGGCCAAGGUGGAGUAUGUGCGCAGGAAACCCAAGCUGAAGGAGGUCUUGAUCAGGUUAGAAGACCACCUGGAGUGUGUGUGCACGUCACAACAUCACGUGACCGAGCACUCAGACGCAGACACAGGCCACCAUACUAGGGCUAAAGGUAGAAAAAGGAAACCUAAAAAGCUAAAGCUCAACAAGGAUUUAUUGGCGACAUAAUAAACUUGAACACAUUAUUCCAAAGUCUGGCCGCCGGACCCCCCGGCUCCAACAGUCGACAUAAGGUGAGACCCCAGCAGCAUUGGACUUCAGUGUGGAAGGGGCCAAAGAGAGGAUGCUGCCAUAUUUGGACUGCUGACCUACCCCCUUCCCUGACCCCACCCCACACCACCUACCGCCUUUUAAAAACAAAGAUUACUGUAAAGAGAAAAAAAGUUAAUAAAAUGCCAAAGGUGCUUUUUUCUAUUACCGUAAAAAGUAAUGCAGAAGGUCUCUGCCAAGCGCAGCAGAACCAACCAAUCAAACAAUGAUGCGGAUGAGGAUGGUGAAGCCGAUAAAGAGCUGGGCAGAAAAGAGAGGAGGAGGAGGACAAGAUGGGUUGUCGUUUGUUGGGUAACAGGACAAUUUGACGAUCACAGAGAGAGAUCCAGGAUGGAUCAUUGGAUUAAGCCUCGAUGGGGGAUCUGUUGACUGGAUCCUAAAAGGACACAGAGAGGGACAAUCAAUGGACUCUUCGGGAUGUGUGGAGGCUUGCAUGUUCCUAGCCGUUGGCCUAAGUGACACUUGCCUGGACAGUCAAUGACUGACAGAGAGAGAGGGAGAGAGGGAAAGAGAUGUUGAGAGAAGUUGUAGAGAGGUGUAGAAGGUACUGGUCGUGUUGCUUGUUGUUCCGGAACUCUCUGUACACUGUAGUGGAACUUGUGAACAUUCUGGAACUCAUAAAAUGGUUGCCCAUUUUGUCUCUUUUGGAUAGUGUUGGGAAAAGUGUUGGGAAAAGUGUUUGGAAUCAUCAGGACCUGUUGUUCCAAGAUGGCUUCUCUGCUUCUCUCUCUUGGGUUUCCCUAUCUGCUCCUAUUGGGAUUGUGCCAGUCGCCAUAUACACUACAGAACGAUUCAGAAAGGAAGAUUCAUUCAUUGCUACUAAUAAACUAUUUAUACGUGUGAACGUUUUCAUUUCUCUCUCUCUCCCUCCAAGACAUUGUUAUGUUUUCUGUGACAUGUAAGAGUCAUGUUCUGUCUGAUCCUCUGGUAGUGAAUCUUCAUGUCCACAUGUUGUUUGUAGUUGUUCAUGUAGUUGUUACUCAUGUUCAAUGUUGCCUUAUUAUGUGCCAGUAUAUUAUCUGAACAGUCUCAAGUCUAGUUGUAUGGGCUGGAAAUGUAAGGAAGCGUGGCGAGGAGGAGAUGGGAGGACAGAGUCUGUACAAGUACAGGAAGAUGCUUUAUUUUUGUUAAAAAAAUAUAUUAUGCUUACUUAUAUUCAAGCAGGAAGUAUGUUUGUUAUUUCUUUGUUUGUUGUGGUUGAAUGCUUUUAUGUAAUCCAUGGAAACGAUGCAGGAAUGGGGGUGAGGACAUGUAUAAGGCCCCAGCAAUGCACCCUGUUUGGUGCUGUAGGGUAGGCUUACAUCAGCAGUGCUGUACUCUAUUAUCUAGAGAGCUGGAUAGCGCUAACCUGGUCCCAGAUCAGUUUGUGUUGUCCUGCAAACACAUAUAGUCAUUGGCAAGACAGCACAAACCGAUCUGAGAUCAGUCUGGCUGAGGAAGACUCAAUCUGGGACAUCGUUGGACUGUGUCUCUUUAACUCUGUUAUCUAGCCAAAAGUUACACCCAGUAACCAGAGCGUCAUUAUACACAACAGAACACACACGUUCAGCAUGUGUGUGUGUGCACAUAAAUGUGUGUGUGAAACCACUUUUAACCCACAUCACACUCCUUUGAUAAGAUGGUGCCCAGUCCGCCCUACCAGCACACAAGUUGUUCUUAACGAGUACAAAGUCCAUCUUGAAUGAGAGAGUUGGUGAACAAACCAACAUGAAUGGUUUCCUAGUUAAUCAAGCAGCAGUCUUCCAUUGACACGUUAACAACGGAGAAGACUGUUCCACUGUUGAUGAGUGAAAGAUAGAAAAAGAAGAUACCACUGUUUAUGGAGAGACUGACACCAAAUCUCUAACAACACCCUAUUUCCCGUAGAGUGCAGUGCACUACUUUAGACCAGAGCCACUGGCCAAAAGUAGUGCGCUACAUAGGGAAUAGGUUGUCGUUUGGCACACACUGAAUCAAUAGAAAGACCUGGGCACUUUCCCAAAAUGUCUCAGAGUAGGAGUGCUGUUCAUCUUAUUCAUUAUGAUCUAAACAGCUAAACUGAUCCAAGAUCAGCACUUGAUGAAGUCCUGGGUGAGAGGCAUGUUGAGAGAAAAUAGAUGACUGAAGAAGCAACAACAGUGUAUCUGCAGCUGCUUGGUGUUGCGGUAACAACAUGUUCAUCUGCACUAUACAGACUUCCAAGGUGAUUCCAUUGGUGCUAUAUGUAUAAAGGAAAUCAGAAGAAGUUUCACCACCAUUUUGCAGUGCAUUUCUUCAUUCAUUGUCAAUAGACCAGGGACCACUGCUUACAGUAACUAAAGGAACCACAACAACACAAGCUUUUACCAUGUUUUAUUUGGGCCUCUAUUGGAUAAAAACAGCAAUGAUUAUAAUUUAUAUAUUUAUGUUUUCAAUAAUAAAUGCAUUCUGCUUAUCAAACUGUA